UACGUAGGGUGCAAGCGUUAAUCGGAAUUACUGGGCGUAAAGCGUGCGCAGGCGGUCCGUUAAGACAGAUGUGAAAUCCCCGGGCUUAACCUGGGAACUGCAUUUGUGACUGGCGGACUCGAGUAUGGCAGAGGGGGGUAGAAUUCCACGUGUAGCAGUGAAAUGCGUAGAGAUGUGGAGGAAUACCGAUGGCGAAAGCAGCCCCCUGGGCCAAUACUGACGCUCAUGCACGAAAGCGUGGGGAGCGAACAGG
rnacentral:rRNA from 1 species